GAUGAACGCUGGCGGCGCGCCUAACACAUGCAAGUCGAACGGCACCUAUCUUCGGAUAGAAGCGAGUGGCGAACGGCUGAGUAACACGUGGAGAACCUGCCCCCUCCCCCGGGAUAGCCGCCCGAAAGGACGGGUAAUACCGGAUACCCCGGGGUGCCGCAUGGCACCCCGGCUAAAGCCCCGACGGGAGGGGAUGGCUCCGCGGCCCAUCAGGUAGACGGCGGGGUGACGGCCCACCGUGCCGACAACGGGUAGCCGGGUUGAGAGACCGACCGGCCAGAUUGGGACUGAGACACGGCCCAGACUCCUACGGGAGGCAGCAGUGGGGAAUCUUGCGCAAUGGGGGGAACCCUGACGCAGCGACGCCGCGUGCGGGACGGAGGCCUUCGGGUCGUAAACCGCUUUCAGCAGGGAAGAGUCAAGACUGUACCUGCAGAAGAAGCCCCGGCUAACUACGUGCCAGCAGCCGCGGUAAUACGUAGGGGGCGAGCGUUAUCCGGAUUCAUUGGGCGUAAAGCGCGCGUAGGCGGCCCGGCAGGCCGGGGGUCGAAGCGGGGGGCUCAACCCCCCGAAGCCCCCGGAACCUCCGCGGCUUGGGUCCGGUAGGGGAGGGUGGAACACCCGGUGUAGCGGUGGAAUGCGCAGAUAUCGGGUGGAACACCGGUGGCGAAGGCGGCCCUCUGGGCCGAGACCGACGCUGAGGCGCGAAAGCUGGGGGAGCGAACA
rnacentral:rRNA from 1 species